AACGAACGCUGGCGGCAGGCUUAACACAUGCAAGUCGAGCGCCCCGCAAGGGGAGCGGCAGACGGGUGGGUAACGCGUGGGAACGUACCUUUUGGUUCGGAACAACUCCGGGAAACGGGAGCUAAUACCGGAUAAGCCCUAACGGGGGAAGGUUUAUCGCCGAAAGAUCGGCCCGCGUCUGAUUAGCUGGGUGGUGAGGUAACGGCUCACCAAGGCGACGAUCAGUAGCUGGUCUGAGAGGAUGAUCAGCCACACUGGGACUGAGACACGGCCCAGACUCCUACGGGAGGCAGCAGUGGGGAAUAUUGGACAAUGGGCGCAAGCCUGAUCCAGCCAUGCCGCGUGAGUGAUGAAGGCCUUAGGGUUGUAAAGCUCUUUUGUCCGGGAAGAGAAUGACUGUACCGGAAGAAUAAGCCCCGGCUAACUUCGUG
rnacentral:rRNA from 1 species